CUCGUUUGUUUAUUUUACAUAGCCUAGCAAAGCAACAAAUAUCGUGAGCUGCAGCUGGCAGAAUGACACUAAAUUGUGUAAUCGCUUUCUGGAGCUGCCGGCAUGCUGGGGGCCUGGGCCCAUGUCACAUGUACAGCAGCAUGGACAGAGACGUUAGUCAGCUGGUUCCUGUCAGCAAAUUUCUCCUCUGCUCUGUGACUGAAGGGCUUAGUGUAUGUCUGUGGCGGGCCACCAGCUGAUUGGCCGUGCUCUUCACCAACCAGGUACAUGCAGAGGGGGAGGUGUCAGGUGCGCAAGCACCUGCCUCUUCUGCUCUAAGUGCCCGACAUGCCCCUUUGAUUUGAUACCAAAAAAACAAUAUUUUUAUCAUCAUUACUGCAGUCAUUAAUUUUCAUUCAUUCACUCAUUCAUUCAUUCAUUUUGUUAAAAUAUGUGCUGUUUAAGGAACUGGACAUUGUAAAACCUAGUGUUUAUAGGCUGAUGUACCCAUUUCUCACUUUGAGCACCUGCCCCUCAAAAGGUCUUGCAGGGCCCUGACUCCAACCCCUGAAUUCAGUCAGUAGUUUGUCCCUGAAUUUGACAGUGCAAGCACUCUCCCGCUCAUUUGCUGAAGCCCUUGAGGUUAAGUAUCGUGCUCAAUGGCGCAAUGGCAGUGUACAGAGGUUAUAAAGUAACUGCUCUGCAUCGAGAGCAAUGAAGGAGUUCAUUUCUUCACUGGGUCAAUACUAAUGAAACAGCCGCGUUUGUUAAUCAUGCAGAGAAGUCUAGUGCGAUCUCAAAGCCAAGGCCUGUCCUUUCCUCAACGGAAAGUCAGUUUGAAUUAAUCAAUCAAUCAGUCAUUUGAAUUGAUUCCAUUAAUUAAGCUGGUAAACAAUGUACAGACCUGCCUAAGUGUGUUGAUGAUUUCAUUUGGAAAAGGCAAUUGUUAUAAACGGCUUGAUUUUUUUGUUUGUUUGUUUGAUUUAAGCUUGGACAAUGUGGUAAGGAUUGUAUGUCCUUCAGACUAUGUGGGAAUUUUUUCCUUGCAUGUUGCGGUCCUGUGUCCUAGUGCUCUAGUUCACCACCUCUUUUCCUCAUGGUCAAUCUUGUUUCAUGGUCACCAUAAAGGCUUGUUAAAGUUGCGUUAACGUGAGCAGGCUUGGAAUUAAUUCCACUUACGUAACUAUCUGCAGGACCGUUAAUCAUACUUAGGGAAGCUGCAUUCUUCUGCGGGACAUCGGUGUCCAAAUACCGUGCGAUAGGAAUGCCGCGUUUAUAACCGUACUAAACCUGCUGGCGAUUUAAUGCACCAUAUUUCAUAUCGCAAUUUUUUUGCACCCAGCGACUCUCACGGCCCUUAUAAAACGGCACCUUCAUUCAUAUUUCAGCCAAUUCAUUCGUCGCGGCUCAUUAGACCAGGGAUCCGGCUCUAAUUGCGUAUGCACUUCAGAAUAUUUCAUUAGCGACCGCGGUUUAUUCGGCUCCGUUCCGUCUCUCUGGUUUCGUUAUCUCCAGUCCCUGACUGAGCACGCGGCUGACUGCGCACGUUCGCUCGAGACGCGGGAAGGAGCUUUCCCGAGGUAGCCCUCUGUUUGAAUUGGUCUGGGAGAGACACACCUGUCAGAAGUAUCCUUGCCCCACCCGCUAUCAGAAAAUGUGUCCCCUCCCUAAGGCCUUCCCCUUGAUUGGUUGACCCAUUACACGCUGGCAGUGAUCCUGCCCUCUGAUAGGGUAAAACAUGAGGGUAGUGACCCUGCCUCUUGGGUCUGAUAGUACCCAGUGAAUUUCUCUCAGCUUGAACAGCUGUAAAUAUAACUAAAUUCUAAAACGGAUUUUCUUUAUCAGUCGAGGUUUGUACAGUAAGACUAACACGUUUGGAGUUUGCUGGCUUAGAUGAACUUUUUAAAGCUGAUAUCUCAAGAAAAUAGAAAUUAAAAGCACAGAAAAUACUGUACAAAUGUUGUACAGUAUGUGGAUUGUGUGAUAUAAGUUCUGAAUUUAAUUAUAAUUGCUACUGAUAUAAAACUAUUCCUACAUUCGUUGCCUAUGCAGUAGUAUAUCUUUAGGUGGCGUGGUGCUACAUUCAGUUUCGGAUAAUAUUUUUUAAUGGUUCAUAAACCACAGGAUUCUGAUUCAUCUGGAGAAUCUUGCAUCAUGAUUGGGCGGAACAAACGCCUGUGUCCAAUAGCGAUGCCCCCACUUCCCCCCGCAGCGCUGAUGUUCUCACUUCUCAGUUCCCACACUCUUCCGCUUGCGUUAGCAUCACGAGGCUAAGCGCUUCGCGGCUACAGUGGAAAAGUACUGAUUCCUUUCCCCGCAGCGGCUCAGUGGCGGCUGUACCUCACCUCGUCCGUGCCCGGACAAGGUCAGAGCGUUUUGGCACUCGGUUUAGCCUGUUUCUGUUUGAAUGAACACCAUAAAAAGAAGAAGAAAAAAAAGGAAGAAAGAAAGAAGGCAGUAUGUGCGCAACUGCUUUCUCUCUCAUUCUUUUUCUCUCUCUCUUUCUCUCUCUUUUUUCUUUCUUUCGCCGGGGAAAUGAAGCGGUUGCCCCCUUUCUUUCUACGGGCUCGUUGCUUUUUUGCCUGCUAAUGGAACAGAGUCGUUUCAAACGGGGAGCUCUCAGGGGUUGCUAGGCGCCAGCAAGCAGCAGCCCUGUCAGCUGAUCGCCUCGGCUUCCAAUCACGUAAAAGCCCGGCUCUCAUAUCGUCCAAUGGGGUGUAGUUCUACAGUACAUACCUUCAGGGAAGUCUGUUCAAAACUAAACAGGUUGGUAGUGAGAUGUAUUAAGCUAAGCCUGCCUAUGGUAUUUACCUAUUUUUUGGCUUCACUUGAUUAGGUGGGAAUUCAGACAUUUUACUUCCUGUCCUGAGGCAUGCUGGCUGUCAGUAUAUUUCCUCAGGGGGUAGGGGGGGGCAAAGGUCAGAAGUAUAAAUUAUGUAAACCGCAUUUGCAUGUGUCACGUGAGUGCACAGUGAACCUUUGUUUCCCAAGUUCUGCAGUUCUUCUGACUGAGCCACCGCUGGUGAUCGGCAUCAUCAUGUGAACCCAGCACUGGCCGAGCAGUUUGUCACUACGCAGUACGAUAAAGAGACGGAGAGAAGAGAGGCACAGUGUGGCUGUCCUGUAUUUGCCCCUGAUGUGCUGGCCGGGGGGGGGGGGUAUUCCACAGGGGUAAUGUUGUGGGAUUCCCCUGGUGUGUUAUCCUGCAUACUGCAAUAGCCUCUAAUUACCCUCUUCCGAUGUCAGAGAGAAAGCAACUAUACCGAUAUGCGGAUGUAUUCUCUUUUCCUGAUAGCGUACGGUUCAUAUUCCCUUCUCAGAUUAGAAACACAAAAAUGGCCCCUGUAUUUUUGGCUGCUUGGUCAAUGGGGGGGUGGGGGGGUGGGGCGGUUGUCGUAGUCACGUUACCAGAACAUUCUGCCCGGGAUUCUGCCCUGAGGAAGGACCCGACAAGCCCGCUUGUUUUCCAGCAAGUUUGGGGGCAGAGGAUUUUAGGGGCUGUACCCAAAGCUGUUGAUCAGAGAUUAAACAUUGCUCCAGUUCAGUCGUAGGUCUUUCCUGAUUGGACCGGUUACCAUCAGUUACAAACAAGUGUGACCCUUCCCGACAAGCCCAACAUGAUGUUGCAUUUUUUUAUUUAUUUUGGACGAAGUGUGCUGUUGUAGGACACUAACCUUACGAUGUUCAACCUCACAAUGUUGAAAAAAUCUUUAACUCCUUCCGUGUAGAGCAGACUGGCAGCAUCAAAUGUUUUGCAGUGAAUGUGAAUUAAAAUAGCACAGCGAGAUCAGAACUGUGAAAACAUUUUUGAUGACUAGUCCGUUCGCAGUGUACCCAUGCGUACGUCACUAAGCGUGGAGUGUGAAGCUGAGAUCGGAGAGACGUGAGUUAGCAUGUGAACAUCUGCUAAAAAAAAAUUCAGCAUCACCUCUUGAGAAGGAACAAGUGUCCUUAAGUUCCUUAGCUGGGGAACCUGGGAUAACCUGAUCUUUAGAUUGGCUUGCUAAUCAUAUAUCUUCUGUGUGUUUCUGAACCAGCUGUCUGUCAGUCAUUCAUCCUUGACAUAUUGUACAUUCUGUAUUUUCCAUGAACUCAAAGUUGUUUUCAUUUCAUUGCUACGUCUUUUUUUUUUGUUCUCUGGGCUGGAGUUAUGGCUGGUAACCCAUUGUUCCAGUCUGUUGCACAAGCGAGCCCCUCGUUUGGGUCCAAGUCGGUCACUGGAGCAUUUAAAGUGGCUGAGCUGGAGAGAGAGGGGGAGAGGGGGAAAGGGGGAGAGAGAUAGAGGGAGAGGGAGAGAGCAUAAGCCAGGGAAAGCUGAAUGGUUGCGCGUGAGUCAGUGCAUCGGCGGCCAUUUUGUUUUCCUGAAAGGAGAUGUAUUGAGAUGCAUGGCUGGCUCUCUGCUAUUCCUCGGUACAAGCAGUACCCAGAGCAGGGGAUUUUGGUGAUUACCUGUAGUGUACUAACCAGUAUUGCCAAAUCUCAAAUCUCAAAAGAUGUUCUAUUUUGGUAAAACUGUUUACCUUGUUUUGACUAAGAUAGGUAAACAUUUUGGCAUAGUGUUUCCCCUUUCUAAAAUACUAAUAACAUUUAAAAAAACAUUUGUCCGAUUGCCCAUGGUCCUUUCUUACUGGACUGUACUCUUGUUGAAUACUGAGAACUGAAUACUACUCAGUUUUAAUUCUGUGUUCAAUCCCCACUCAGUAAUAUAAUCAAUGUUAAAUAGAUUGAGCAUGUUUCUUUCUGAUAUGUUACUGUAAUGGAGUACAAUCGAUCCCUGUUGGAUGCAAACAGAAGUAGUUCAGUAUUAACUGAAUGUGUUACUUUUCAGACUUCCCAGUAUUGUUCUAAAGAUUCAAAUCUGCAGAAUGCAACAAAGUUUU